rnacentral:rRNA from 1 species
CAACGAUCAGUAGGGGUUCUGAGAGGAAGGCCCCACAUUGGAACUGAGACACGGUCCAAACUCCUACGGGAGGCAGCAGUGAGGAAUAUUGGUCAAUGGGCGAGAGCCUGAACCAGCCAAGUAGCGUGCAGGAUGACGGCCCUAUGGGUUGUAAACUGCUUUUAUGUGGGGAUAAAGUGCGUGACGUGUCAUGCAUUGUCAGGUACCACAUGAAUAAGGACCGGGCUAAUUCCGUGCCAGCAGCCGCGGUAAAU